rnacentral:rRNA from 1 species
AUUGAACGCUGGCGGCAUGCUUUACACAUGCAAGUCGAACGGCAGCGCGGGCUUCGGUCUGGCGGCGAGUGGCGAACGGGUGAGUAAUACAUCGGAACGUGCCCAGUAGUGGGGGAUAGCUCGGCGAAAGCCGGAUUAAUACCGCAUACGACCUGAGGGUGAAAGCGGGGGAUCUUCGGACCUCGCGCUAUUGGAGCGGCCGAAGGCAGAUUAGCUAGUUGGUGGGGUAAAGGCCUACCAAGGCGACGAUCUGUAGCUGGUCUGAGAGGACGACCAGCCACACUGGGACUGAGACACGGCCCAGACUCCUACGGGAGGCAGCAGUGGGGAAUUUUGGACAAUGGGCGAAAGCCUGAUCCAGCAAUGCCGCGUGUGUGAUGAAGGCCUUCGGGUUGUAAAGCACUUUUGGCGGGAACGAAAAGGACUGUGCCAAUACCACGGUUCGAUGACGGUACCCGCAGAAUAAGCACCGGCUAACUACGUG